GAUGAACGCUGGCGGCGUGCUUAAUACAUGCAAGUCGAACGAUGAAGCCCAGCUUGCUGGGUUGUUUAGUUGCGAACGGGUGAGUAACACGUGAGUAACCUGCCCUUAACUCUGGGAUAAGCCUGGUAAACUGGGUCUAAUACCGGAUAGGAGCGUCCACCGCAUGGUGGGUGUUGGAAAGAUUUAUCGGUUUUGGAUGGACUCGCGGCCUAUCAGCUUGUUGGUGAGGUAAUGGCUCACUAAGGCGACGACGGGUAGCCGGCCUGGGAGGGUGACCGGCCACACUGGGACUGAGACACGGCCCAGACUCGUACGGGAGGCAGCAGUGGGGAAUAUUGCGCAAUGGGCGCAAGCCUGAUGCAGCGACGCCGCGUGAGGGAUGCCGGCCUUCGGGUUGUAAACCUCUUUCAGUAGGGAAGAAGCGAAAGUGACGGUACCUGCAGAAGAAGCACCGGCUAACUACGUG
rnacentral:rRNA from 1 species